ensembl:lncRNA
AGAUUCGUUAGAAGCUGAAGGGUAUUUAAACGGAGGGGCAAGGGGGUCAGUUACUCACCUUCAUGUGCAAAGGGAAGCAGAGAGAAAGUAGCCUGGAGACAAAUACACACACCCACACGAGGGACAAUAACUGUCUAGGUUCCUGCUGCUUUUCCAAUUGCUGGUUCCAGUUCCCAAUGAGGCCUGACUGGAGCUCUGUAAGAUCCUGAUUCUUUCUAAGACUCUGUGAUUUUUGCCGGGUUGAAUGGGUUUUUGCUCUUGCACUCUAAAAUAGCCUUGUCUCUGAAAGUUUGCUAAGGACAUUCUCUGUAGCACCCCAUUUCUGCAGGGACGGUAGUGUAAGUGGCUGUGAACGGAGAGUCAGCAGUGCCACCUCUGGGAGGAACUGGUUCCAUGGAUGUCAGGCACGUUACUUCCCUGCCUGGAAUCUCUCACCUGCAAAUAAGGGGGUUGAUUUAGAUUAUUUUUUCAAGAGCCCUUGCAGCUCUAAUAUUCUUGUACUAAAGGAAAAGAAAGAGAAUGAAGCUUGCCUGUUCUUGGUCUGGAAUUUUUAAUGGGAGCCUCAAAACUUUGGGGCUGAGUCGGGGUGAGGACAGCCAUGCUCAAGGGAAGGACACUAAUGGGAGAGCCAAUCGAAGAGCAAGAGGCAAGGCUGCUUGAAUAGUCACCCCCAAAACGGAGGAAAGUUUGGGUUAUUCCAAAUGUUUUCUUUGUUAAACCCUGUGAGUAGUUUUCCACAUGAGGUGCCUAUUAGAAUCACCUGGGAACAAAAAAACACAAAACCAACUCAUGUCCUGGGCAAUUAAAUGAUAAAUUCUAGGGUCUGAAGAGGGGGCUGCCCCGUGGAUGUUAAGGUUCUCAGGUGGUUACAAUCAGGGCCAAGAUGGGGAACCACUGUGUGUUUGUAUUUGCCUUUGCUUAAUAAAGGAUGUCAGGACUUUAAAAGCUCACAGCUGAAUAUAAGAUGAGUGGUGAGGGUGUGCAGGGAAAGCAGAGUUUCUGUAAACUUUAACAAGAAAACUUAAAACUAAAAAAAAUUUUUUAAAAAGUUGAGAAAUAUAAAAGUCCUCUGUUCUAAAGACUUUUGUCACAGUAGCCUAUGUUUUAAGAUUUCUUAAGGAUAUCAAAGUAAUAUAAGAGAGCAAAAUAUUUGACUUUGAAAAUCCUGGAGUUAUCAAGGUAACGUUAAUGUCCUCUGGCAUAUUCUUUUAAAGAAGUGGCCGUCUGCAUUCCCUGGCGCUGGUCCUGCAUCUUCAAAGUCGGAAACAGUGAGCUGAGUGCCUUUCAUGCCCCCUUCUCUUUGGUUCUUCCUCUGGCUCUUUUGCCUCCUCUUGUCCUUAGAAGGACCCUUGUGCCGACCCACCCACAUAAUCCAGGAUGAUCUCAUCUCAAGGUGGGACGCCUACCACGACAAGGCUCUUGCCAAGCAGUGCCACGUCUGCACCCAGGAUCCGACCCGGCGAACCCUGGGCCACCGAAGCGGAACGUGCGCACUUAACCGCUGCGCCACCAGGCUGGCCCCAGAAUUUCUAAUUUUUAAAAACAAUUUAUUUCUCUCUAUGUAUUCUCCAUUUAGUGAGACCCUGUCUUCAUACUUUCCUUAAGUUCUUUAGGCAUGGUUUACUUUAGUCCUUUGAGCAUAUUUAAAAUAUCCCAUGUAAUAUCUUUGUCUAGGAAGCCAAUAUAUGUGCUUCCCCAGGGAAGGUUUCUAUUGACUGAUAUUUAUCCUGUGUAUGGACCAUACUUUCUUGUUUCUUUAUAUGCCUCAUAAAUUUUUGUUCAAAACUAGACAUUUUAAGUAAUAGAAUAUGCCAAUUCUGGAAAUAAGAUUCUUCCCUCUUUCCAGUGAUUGUUGUUGAUCUCAGAUGUGGUUGCUGUUUUUUUGUUUAAUAACAAAUGGGGAAAAUGGCAAUUAAAGGAUUAAAGUAUAAAUAAAUUGUGAUCUAUGAAUACAAGGACAUAUUACUAGAUGUUAAAGGUCACAGAUAGUAGACAACUGUGGCUUGAAGUCUGAGG